rnacentral:rRNA from 1 species
CGAAUGAAGCGGCAAGAGCCCAAAUUUGAAAUCAGGCCCUCGUGGCUUGAGUUGUAAUUUGGAGACGGGAUACUAGAGAGAGGGAGGGCGACUAAGUGCCUUGGAACAGGCUGCCGUAGAGGGUGAGAGCCCCGUGAGUCGCGUGAACUUGAUCAAUUAGUGCCCGCCGAAGAGUCGAGUUGUUUGGGAAUGCAGCUCUAAGUGGGUGGUAUAUUCCAUCUAAGGCUAAAUAUUAGCGAGAGACCGAUAGCAAACAAGUACAGUGAUGGAAAGAUGAAAAGAACUUUGGAAAGAGAGUGAAAUAGUACGUGAAAUUGUUGAAAGGGAAGGGUAUUUGAUCCGACAUGGUGUUUAGCAGCGGCCCGUUCCUCGUGGAUGGGUGCACCUGGUUUACACUGGGCCAGCAUCGGUUCUGGGAGCCAUAUACGGGGCAGGCGAAUGUGGCCCUUCGAUUCUGUCGGAGGGUGUUAUAGCGCCAGCCAGACGUGGCUAUCCG